UGUGAAUGGCAGACCAAAAGACAAGUACAAAAAUCACCAAAAAUUGUCAAAACUUAUCCGCCUCAUUUCUCUUCAACCUUAUCUCUUUAUCUCAUAACAAAAGGGUCUAGAAGAAUCUAGACACUCCACACCUAAUCAAAUUUGUGCUCCCUCUCCACGCUCUGAUUGUGAUCAUGAUCAAAGUCAAAUAAAACCACCAAAAAUAACAAAAAAAAUCUCAAAAUUGCCAUCGCUUGUUCUUACCCUAUUACCCUCAUUUUAACUUAAUUUCUAAGCCUAGAACUUUCCUUAAGACUCUAUAAAAGGAGUAUGGACAGAAGGAAAAAAUGUUAGAGUCUAAAGAGAGGCAAAGAUUAAGAUUCAUCCACUUUUUCUCCAUUUUCACAAAAUUUCGAAAAUCAUCAAAACCAUCACAAACCUUCCAUAACCAACAAGAAAAAAACGCAAGAAAAGCAUCAAAGAAGCAUACCCAAACCACCAAAAUUGCCAAGAAAAGAGUUGGAAUCAACCACCAAACCAGGGGGCUUGAAACAAUACAUAAGUCAAUUAUAGCCAUUUGAUCAUGGAAUUGUUUUGCCACGUGUUACGAUCUGAAUUUGUGACACUGUGAGCCUUGUCACACACGAUCACACUCAGAUCACACAGCUGCGAAAUCGCUCGUCUACGCCGUCGCCGUUUCAAAGCUUCUUCUCCAUCGUCUUCUCCGUUUCAAAGCUUCUUCUCCGUCGUCUUCUCCGUUCUCUCCAUCGUCUGUUCAUUGUAGUACUAGAGUAAGCUUCUUCUCCAUCGCUGUUUCAAAGCUUCUUCUCCGUCGUCUUCUCCGUUUCAAAGCUUCUUCUCCGUCGUCUUCUUCAUUCUCUCCAUCGUCUGUUCAUUGUAGUACUAGAGGAUCAAGCUGCGACAAUCAUACGUAAGUUGCUGGGAUUAAUCAGGGAUCAAGCUGCGACAAUCAUACGUUCUACUCGGGGGUUGUUAUUGGAGCUACGGAGGUAUUACUAAGUGGUGUACCAUCAUUAUCAAUAUCAUUAGAUUGGUAAUUUGGUGAUUCUAUACAUCUGGAGCUUAAUCAGGGACCAUAUGUAUGAUGAAUUUAUUGUUCAAGGACCUUAUCUUUCUGAAGCUUGGGAGGUUUAUGAAUGGAGAAAAAAAGAGAAACCAUUGAUGAUGAAUUGGAAAGUUCAUUCUUUGAACAAUGAAAUUGAUAUGAAGAAUAGUCUCAGAUUAUGGGCACACCGUGUUGCUUCCACUGUUAGAUGAAAUGAAGUUCUUCAUAUUUCAUAAUCUAUUUUUUUCUUCUUCUUAAAAUAUACAUUUUUGCUAAAUAAUGUAUUUACUCUUGAAUUGUA